GACGAACGCUGGCGGCGUGCCUAAUACAUGCAAGUAGAACGCUGAAGAGAGGAGCUUGCUCUUCUUGGAUGAGUUGCGAACGGGUGAGUAACGCGUAGGUAACCUGCCUUGUAGCGGGGGAUAACUAUUGGAAACGAUAGCUAAUACCGCAUAACAAUAGGUGACACAUGUCAUUUAUUUGAAAGGGGCAAUUGCUCCACUACAAGAUGGACCUGCGUUGUAUUAGCUAGUAGGUGAGGUAACGGCUCACCUAGGCGACGAUACAUAGCCGACCUGAGAGGGUGAUCGGCCACACUGGGACUGAGACACGGCCCAGACUCCUACGGGAGGCAGCAGUAGGGAAUCUUCGGCAAUGGGGGCAACCCUGACCGAGCAACGCCGCGGGAGUGAAGAAGGUUUUCGGAUCGUAAAGCUCUGUUGUAAGUCAAGAACGAGUGUGAGAGUGGAAAGUUCACACUGUGACGGUAGCUUACCAGAAAGGGACGGCUAACUACGUG
rnacentral:rRNA from 1 species